rnacentral:rRNA from 1 species
UACGAAGGGGGCUAGCGUUGCUCGGAAUCACUGGGCGUAAAGCGCACGUAGGCGGAUUGUUAAGUCAGGGGUGAAAUCCUGGAGCUCAACUCCAGAACUGCCUUUGAUACUGGCGAUCUCGAGUCCGGGAGAGGUGAGUGGAACUGCGAGUGUAGAGGUGAAAUUCGUAGAUAUUCGCAAGAACACCAGUGGCGAAGGCGGCUCACUGGCCCGGUACUGACGCUGAGGUGCGAAAGCGAGGGGAGCAAACAGG